GGGGAGAUGGCUCAGUGGUUAAAAGCACUGGCUGCUCUUCUAGAGAACCUGGGUUCAAUUCCCAGUACUCACA
rfam:Cricetulus griseus cell line CHO-K1, whole genome shotgun sequence.